GCAGCCUGACUAGAGAACAAACUACCAAUUAACGAGCGAGGAAACAGGGCCAGAGAAUUGGAACAAAAUACAAGGCUGCCUCUGAAAGGGGUAUCUUUGUGCUGAUGUGUCCAUCAAGAGAACAUACACAGCAGUGACACUUGCCAGUAAUUUGCAAGCAGAUGGAACUUCAAUAUGGCAAUAGAGAAAGAAUCAAUUAGACCAGAGUCUCCUCAGGAAGACUUUCUAUAGGUAAGAUAGAAAAAAGAAUUGUAGUUUCCAUUAAUUGGCAAUAGUAGGAAGAGUAUUACAGAAUAGGGGAAAAUAGGAGGAUAAUUGUAGUAAUUGUAAUGCCCAUUUGCUGAGGUUAUGUGCCAGCCACUGUGCUUAGUGCUUGGCCAGUGUUGUUCUCAUUGAAUUCUCAUAACCACCUUACGAGAUAAAUGCUAUAUUUGACCCUGUUUUACAAAGGAAGAAAAUGAGGCUUUGAGCAG